UACGUAGGGUGCGAGCGUUGUCCGGAAUUAUUGGGCGUAAAGAGCUCGUAGGCGGUCUGUCGCGUCGAUCGUGAAAACUUGGGGCUUAACCCUGAGCUUGCGGUCGAUACGGGCAUGACUGGAGUUCGGCAGGGGAGACUGGAAUUCCUGGUGUAGCGGUGAAAUGCGCAGAUAUCAGGAGGAACACCGGUGGCGAAGGCGGGUCUCUGGGCCGAUACUGACGCUGAGGCGCGAAAGCGUGGGGAGCAAACAGG
rnacentral:rRNA from 1 species